GCGCCAGUGGUGGAAUUGGUAGACACGCCAGAUUUAGGUUCUGGUGCCGAGAGGUGUGGGGGUUCAAGUCCCUCCUGGCGCACCA
rnacentral:tRNA from 10 species